AUGGAAAAUCUUUUGAAGAGUAUUGAAAGCAUCCAAAGGUAUCAUGCCUCACAGUUCGACUCGACAAAGGUCAGCUUGAAGGCUAUUGGGGAUGUUAUUUCUAUUAACACGGUCUUUUUGAAAGCUGGAACUCCAUCACCAACAAUAAGUCUAUCAACUCAAAUAUUCCAUCAAAGUGAUCAAACAUGUAUUGUAUAA